GCAAACUUGGUCAUUUAGAGGAAGUAAAAGUCGUAACAAGGUUUCCGUAGGUGAACCUGCGGAAGGAUCAUUACAUGACACGCCCGAGCCUUUUAGCUCAGGGGUGCUCUCGUCCUUGCUUGUUUGAACCUUUUGUUAUUCCCUCGGUGGGUAUAUAACCUGCCGAUGGGAAUCAUAAACAACCCUUUCUGCAUGUAGAAUUCAAUUCUGAUAGAAACAUUUAAAUCGUUUACAACUUUCAACAAUGGAUCUCUUGGUUCUGGCAUCGAUGAAGAACGCAGC
rnacentral:misc_RNA from 1 species